rnacentral:tRNA from 1 species
GCCGCCAUAACUCAAUAGGCAGAGUAACGGCCUUUUAAGCCGGGCGUUGGGGGUUCGAUUCCCUCUGGCGGCACUA